CCAGCACCUUGAUCUUGGACUUUCCAGAGUCCAGAACUGUACUCAUCUGGCUUUUUUUCCCCCCCAAAUGUGAGCAAGAGAGGGAAGCUGACAUCUUGUUCCUGGGUUGGGCACCUGCUGAGUCACUGGACCUGCUGAUCUGCCCCAGUGCUGUCUGAAUGGGGGAAGAGCAGAGUGGGAGACCGAAUGAUGUCCUCCAAUUGUGCAUCUAAAAAGCCCAAAGCACCAGUUGGGGAAAGAUGUAUUCUCCAUGGAAGAUGCUGCAGAGAUGCUGGGGCAGGCAUGAAGGGAGAACACAAAGAGAAAAUUCUCUUUGUCAGGCCAGUCUGGACUUGCUUACAUGGCAAUGGCAGGGUUCCAACAGAGAGUGGAAGCACAGAAGUUCUCUUGAGGCCUAGGAUCUGAACUGGCACAUUGCUACUUUGACUUCAUUCUACUGGCAAAAGCAAUCCAGAUUCAAGAGG